AAUGCAGAGAUUGUGUGUAUCGGCUUAGUGCGAUGUAAUGCGCUUUGUACGAAAGAUUUCUCUGCGACAUUAAUUUGGGGCAGAUGGGCAGUUGUGAUUCAAUGUCAAUUGAAUAGCUCAACAAUCAUCUUCCCCACAAUU
rnacentral:snoRNA from 14 species